rnacentral:rRNA from 1 species
AUCAGUGAAACUAAUCUCCCCGUGAAGAAGCGAGGAUAAACCUAUAAGACGAGAAGACCCCAUGGAGCUUUAAACCUGACGACACCCACAUGCCCUAUAUCCUACUAUUUACCUGUCCCUGUCUGCUCAGUUUUAGGUUGGGGUGACCACGGAGAUAAAAAAACCUCCAUGAAAGAAGGGAUAAUUUCCCUUAUUAAAGAACCACAUUUCCAAAAACUAAUAAAUUAAUUUUUAAUGAUCCGAUAAUCGAUCAACGAACCAAGUUACCCUGGGGAUAACAGCGCAAUCCACCCCGAGAGCCCCUAU